CAUUUUCCCCGCAGGGGGAGGAUGAGAACCGACAGAGGUUCGACAAAACCGCGGCAGCGGUUUUGAACGCUGCGCAGGGCGCAGCGGCCCGGAGGGCGGAGGACCGAAGGUCCGGAGUAAUCCUCCCCCCUCCACCA
rnacentral:sRNA from 1 species